rnacentral:rRNA from 1 species
ACUGAGACACGGUCCAGACUCCUACGGGAGGCAGCAGUGGGGAAUAUUGCACAAUGGGCGCAAGCCUGAUGCAGCCAUGCCGCGUGUAUGAAGAAGGCCUUCGGGUUGUAAAGUACUUUCAGCGGGGAGGAAGGGAGUAAAGUUAAUACCUUUGCUCAUUGACGUUACCCGCAGAAGAAGCACCGGCUAACUCCGUGCCAGCAGCCGCGGUAAUACGGAGGGUGCAAGCGUUAAUCGGAAUUACUGGGCGUAAAGCGCACGCAGGCGGUUUGUUAAGUCAGAUGUGAAAUCCCCGGGCUCAACCUGGGAACUGCAUCUGAUACUGGCAAGCUUGAGUCUCGUAGAGGGGGGUAGAAUUCCAG